AGUGAACGCUGGCGGUAGGCCUAACACAUGCAAGUCGAACGGCAGCACAGUAAGAGCUUGCUCUUACGGGUGGCGAGUGGCGGACGGGUGAGGAAUACAUCGGAAUCUACUUUUUCGUGGGGAAUAACGUAGGGAAACUUACGCUAAUACCGCAUACGACCUACGGGUGAAAGCAGGGGAUCUUCGGACCUUGCGCGAUUGAAUGAGCCGAUGUCGGAUUAGCUAGUUGGCGGGGUAAAGGCCCACCAAGGCGACGAUCCGUAGCUGGUCUGAGAGGAUGAUCAGCCACACUGGAACUGAGACACGGUCCAGACUCCUACGGGAGGCAGCAGUGGGGAAUAUUGGACAAUGGGCGCAAGCCUGAUCCAGCCAUACCGCGUGGGUGAAGAAGGCCUUCGGGUUGUAAAGCCCUUUUGUUGGGAAAGAAAAGCAGCAGGUUAAUACCCCGCUGUUCCGACGGUACCCAAAGAAUAAGCACCGGCUAACUUCGUG
rnacentral:rRNA from 1 species